CGAGCGCAACCCUCGCCUCUAGUUGCCAGCAUCGGUUGGGCACUCUAGAGGGACUGCCGGCGACAAGUCGGAGGAGGGUGGGGAUGACGUCAAAUCAUCAUGCCCCUUAUGACCUGGGCUACACACGUGCUACAAUGGGCGGUACAAAGGGCUGCGAACCCGCGAGGGGGAGCGAAUCCCAAAAAGACCGCUCUCAGUUCGGAUUGCAGGCUGCAACUCGCCUGCAUGAAGCCGGAAUCGCUAGUAAUCGCGGAUCAGCAUGCCGCGGUGAAUACGUUCCCGGGCCUU
rnacentral:rRNA from 1 species